rnacentral:lncRNA from 12 species
GUGACGUCAGGAGGAGCAGGCAAUGACGUCAUAUGCACCAAGGUCACCCCCCCAGUCCCAAUGACGACACAAGUCCGGGUAGGUCUCAGCAGUUUAUUGCUCACUGGGGGUCACUGUCGCGAUAGGGGGACCUGUCACAAUAAUGGGGAUUCGCAGCAACACAGGGCCCCAUUGCGGUCCCAUGGAGCAACACAGGGGCCCUGUCACGACAGAGGAGCGCUGUCACGACAGGGGGUCCCGUGUCCUCUUCACAGCGAUCCAGGGUCCUGUGGUGAUACGGAGUCCUCGCAGAACACGAGUUCCUGUCGCGACAGACCAUCCCUGUCGUGAUAUGGGGCAACCCCUGGCCCGGUAUUGUGGGUCACCCUGUCUGAGGCUCUGGGAAAAUGAGGGGCAGGGGGGUCCCUGUCUCAAUAGAGUCCCUGUCAUGAUAUGAGAGGGAAAAUGAGGGGCAGGGGGUGCCCUGUCUCAAUAGAGUCCCUGUCAUGAUAUGAGAGGCCCCGUUACCAAAAGGGGUCCCUGUCACGACAUGGAAUCAUCCCCCCCCUUGUACCAUGGGUCCCCCCAAAGCCACGAGAACAAAUGGGGGGGGGUUCCCAUCAUGAUAAUGAGUCCUUAUCGCAAUAGGGGGUUCCUGUCACGAUAUGAGGUCCCUGUCGGGAUAUGGGGGUCACUCUUUUGUUUGGAUGUGAGUUCCCUAAGUCAAGGAGGAGAACCAGGGGUGUCUCCACCAAUAUAUGGGGCUCCCUGUCGUGAUGGGGGGGGUCUCUGUCGCGAUAGGGCCCAGGCCAGCAGCAGCGGCGCCGCGGGGGGUCGAACCCCGCCCCGGGGGGGGGGUGGGGCCUCACCCGGCCGCUGCCUCCGGCUCCGUUUGGGGCAUUUUCCUCAAAUUCCUCAAUUUUCCCAGCUCCGGGACCCAAAUCGGGAUUUUUCUUCCUUUUUCUCCCUUUAUCCUUCUUUUUUCCAUUAUUUUUCGCUUCUAUUUUCUAUUUGUCCUAUUUUCAUUUUUUUCUAAUUUCUUCUAUUUUCUCCAAUUUUGUAUUUUUACUCUAGUUUCUUCUAU